GUGCUCACUUCGGCUGCACAUAUACUAAAAUUAGAAUGAUACAGAGAAGAUUAGCAUGGCCCCUGCACAAGGAUGGCAUAUAAAUUUGUGAAGGUUCCAUAUUAAG
ensembl:snRNA U6 U6 spliceosomal RNA